UGGGGAAUAUUGCACAAUGGGCGCAAGCCUGAUGCAGCCAUGCCGCGUGUAUGAAGAAGGCCUUCGGGUUGUAAAGUACUUUCAGCGGGGAGGAAGGUGUUGAGGCUAAUAACCUCAGCAAUUGACGUUACCCGCAGAAGAAGCACCGGCUAACUCCGUGCCAGCAGCCGCGGGAAUACGGAGGGUGCAAGCGUUAAUCGGAAUUACUGGGCGUAAAGCGCACGCAGGCGGUCUGUCAAGUCGGAUGUGAAAUCCCCGGGCUCAACCUGGGAACUGCAUUCGAAACUGGCAGGCUAGAGUCUUGUAGAGGGGGGUAGAAUUCCAGGUGUAGCGGUGAAAUGCGUAGAGAUCUGGAGGAAUACCGGUGGCGAAGGCGGCCCCCUGGACAAAGACUGACGCUCAGGUGCGAAAGCGUGGGGAGCAAACA
rnacentral:rRNA from 1 species